GAUGAAGAACGUAGUGAAAUGCGAUAAGUAAUGUGAAUUGCAGAAUUCAGUGAAUCAUCGAAUCUUUGAACGCACCUUGCGCCUUUUGGUAUUCCGAAAGGCACACCUGUUUGAGCGUCAUGAAUACCUCAAUCUCCAUCUUUUCUUCGGAUUGAUGGGUGACUUGGAUGUUGAGCCCUGCUGGUAUGCUAUAUCAGCUGGCUUUAAACUUAUUAGCCGGCUCUGUACUGGAUCGGUUUGACUCGACGUGAUAAUAUUAUCGUUGAGGAUGCAUGUCUCAUGCAGCCGGAAAGUAUCAAAGCAGCUUCUAGCUUGCCUUUAGCGCACUUUUACAUUUUAGACCUCAGAUCAGGUGGGACUACCCGCUGAACUUAAGCAUAUCAAUAAGCGGAGGA
rnacentral:misc_RNA from 1 species